CCAGUGCAACAGAGAGCAAACCGCCGAUGGCCCACGCAAGUGGGAUCAGGUAAGGGUGAAAGGGUGCGGUAAGAGCGCACCGCGCGGCUGGUAACAGUCCGUGGCACGGUAAACUCCACCCGGAGCAAGGCCAAAUAGGGGUUCAUAAGGUACGGCCCGUACUGAACCCGGGUAGGCUGCUUGAGCCAGUGAGCGAUUGCUGGCCUAGAUGAAUGACUGUCCACGACAGAACCCGGCUUAUCGGUCAGUUUCACCU
rnacentral:RNase_P_RNA from 1 species